rnacentral:rRNA from 1 species
AUUGAACGCUGGCGGCAGGCUUAACACAUGCAAGUCGAGCGCGCGGCGGACGGGUGAGUCAUGUCUGGGAAAAUGCCUGAUGGAGGGGGAUAACUACUGGAAAGGGUCGCUAAUACCGCAUACCCUCAGAUGUGCCCAGAGGGGCUUAGAUAGUAGGUGGGGUAAUGGCUCAAGUAGGCGAAGAGCCCUAGCUGGUCUGCGAGGAUGACCGGCCACACUGGAACUGAGACACGGUCCAGACUCCUACGGGAGGCAGCAGUGGGGAAUAUUGCACAAUGGGCGCAAGCCUGAUGCAGCCAUGCCGCGUGUGUGAAGAAGGCCUUCGGGUUGUAAAGCACUUUCAGCGAGGAGGCGUUACUCGCAGAAGAAGCACCGGCUAACUCCGUGCCAGCCGCCGCGGUAAUUC